GCAAGUCGAACGAAGAGAGAUUUAGUUUACUAAUGAUCUCUUAGUGGCGGACGGGUUAGUAACGCGUGAGCAACUUGCCUCAAAGAGGGGGAUAGUCCUGGGAAACUGGGUUUAAUACCGCAUGUGCUCUUCGGAGUAAAGCUGGCUUCGGCUGGUGCUUUGAGAUAGGCUCGCGUCCUAUCAGCUAGUUGGUGAGGUAACGGCUCACCAAGGCGACGACGGGUAGUUGGUCUGAGAGGACGAUCAGCAACACUGGAACUGAGACACGGUCCAGACACCUACGGGUGGCAGCAGUCGAGAAUCAUUCACAAUGGGGGCAACCCUGAUGGUGCAACGCCGCGUGGAGGAUGAAGGCCCUAGGGUCGUAAACUCCUGUCAUAUGAGAGUAAGACAUAUUAGUUAAUAGCUAGUAUGUUUGAUAGUAUCAUAAGAGGAAGGGACGGCUAACUUCGUGCCAGCAGCCGCGGUAAUACGAAGGUCCCGAGCGUUAUUCGGAAUCACUGGGCGUAAAGGGAGCGUAGGCUGCGUGGUAAGUCAGAUGUGAAAUCUCAGGGCUCAACCCUGAAACUGCAUCCGAUACUGCCACGCUAGAGUAAUGGAGGGGUAAGUGGAAUUCUCAGUGUAGCAGUGAAAUGCGUAGAUAUUGAGAGGAAGACCAACGGCGAAGGCAGCUUACUGGACAUUUACUGACGCUGAGGCUCGAAGGCUAGGGUAGCGAAAGGGAUUAGAUACCCCUGUAGUCCUAGCAGUAAACGAUGUGCGCUUGGUGUGGGCAGGUUCGACCCUGUCUGUGCCGGAGCUAACGCGUUAAGCGCACCGCCUGGGGA
rnacentral:rRNA from 1 species